CAAAGCUCCAGACCAGUGAACGAGCAAAUAAACUGGCUGCUCCCUCUGUUUCCCAUGUCAGUCCUAGGAAAAACCCUUCUGUGGUUAUAAAGCCAGAAGCAUGUUCUCCACAAUUUGGAAAAACAUCUUUUCCUACAAAGGAGUCUUUUAGUGCUAACAUGUCCCUUCCCCACCCCUGCCAGAUGGAGUCAGGAUACAAGCCUCUGGUGGGCAGAGAGGAUAGUAAGCCCCACAGUCUGAGAGGUGACUCCAUAAAACAAGAAGAGGCCCAGAAAAGCUUUGUUGACAGCUGGAGACAGAGAUCAAACACUCAAGGUACCAGAAUCCCUGCUUCUCCUGCAGGGGUCUGCAUGGCUCUGAGUGAUAUGCAGAAGAAUUGCCCAGGCCUCUGAGAACCGGUGCCCCGGGCAGUCCUUCAGAAAGUCCAGGGAAGUCAAAGUAUGUGGCUUAAGCAGAAGACUUUAUAAAGUGGAAAGGGCCAAGGGCAGGUAUGUCCCAGAGCCUUCCGCACCCACAGGCAUCUUCCUGGGGCUUAGUGGCAGCCU
rnacentral:sRNA from 1 species